rfam:Myotis lucifugus cont2.40223, whole genome shotgun sequence.
GGCGGUUCUCAGGUGAUGCACCCCUAAAUCAGGCUCCCUCCUCUCUGGUUCCGGGGUGCGUCACCUGAGAACUGCA